rnacentral:rRNA from 1 species
UGUCAAGUCGAGCGGGGUUUUCGGACCUAGCGGCGGACGGGUGAGUAAUGCGUAGGAAGCUGCCCGAUAGAGGGGGAUACCAGUUGGAAACGACUGUUAAUACCGCAUAAUGUCUACGGACCAAAGUGUGGGACCUUCGGGCCACAUGCUAUCGGAUGCGCCUACGUGGGAUUAGCUAGUUGGUGAGGUAAUGGCUCACCAAGGCGACGAUCUCUAGCUGGUUUGAGAGGAUGAUCAGCCACACUGGAACUGAGACACGGUCCAGACUCCUACGGGAGGCAGCAGUGGGGAAUAUUGGACAAUGGGCGCAGGCCUGAUCCAGCCAUGCCGCGUGUGUGAAGAAGGCCUUCGGGUUGUAAAGCACUUUCAGCGAGGAGGAAGGGGUAGUAGUUAAUAGCUGCUACUUUUGACGUUACUCGCAGAAGAAGCACCGGCUAACUCUGUGCCAGCAGCCGCGGUAAUACAGAGGGUGCAAGCGUUAAUCGGAAUUACUGGGCGUAAAGCGCACGUAGGCGGUUCGUUAAGUUGGAUGUGAAAGCCCCGGGCUCAACCUGGGAAUUGCAUUCAAAACUGGCCAACUAGAGUAUGUGAGAGGGGGGUAGAAUUCCAAGUGUAGCGGUGAAAUGCGUAGAGAUUUGGAGGAAUACCAGUGGCGAAGGCGGCCCCCUGGCACAAUACUGACGCUGAGGUGCGAAAGCGUGGGGAGCAAACAGGAUUAGAUACCCUGGUAGUCCACGCCGUAAACGAUGUCUACUAGCUGUUCGUGGUCUUGUACUGUGAGUAGCGCAGCUAACGCACUAAGUAGACCGCCUGGGGGAGUACGGUCGCAAGAUUAAAAACUCAAAUGAAAUUGACGGGGGGCCCGCACAAGCGGUGGGAGCAUGUGGUUUUAAUUCGACGCAACGCGAAGAACCCUUUACCCUACUCUUGACAUCUACGAGAAGUUGGCAGAGAUGCUUGAUGUUGCCCUUCGGGAAACCGUAAAGAACAGGGUGCUUGCAAUGGGCCUGUCCGUCCAGCU